UACGUAGGGUGCAAGCGUUGUCCGGAAUUAUUGGGCGUAAAGAGCUUGUAGGCGGUUUGUCGCGUCUGCUGUGAAAUUUCGGGGCUCAACCCCGAACUUGCAGUGGGUACGGGCAGACUAGAGUGCGGUAGGGGAGACUGGAAUUCCUGGUGUAGCGGUGAAAUGCGUAGAGAUCGGGAGGAACAUCAGUUGCGAAGGCGGCUCUCUGGACCAGCACUGGACACUGAGGCACGAAAGCGUGGG
rnacentral:rRNA from 1 species